GCCGCCUUAGCUCAGUCGGCAGAGCAGCUCAUUCGUAAUGAGCAGGUCGUCGGUUCGAUUCCGACAGGCGGCUCCA
rnacentral:tRNA from 1 species